AACGAGGAAAGCCAUUUGUGGGAGUAGAUCAUAACAUUAUUAGGAUGACACCGACACCUCUCCCUCACCCGUCCUCCAUCUGAUGGAUGGCAUACAAUGUGCAGCAAGGCAGCAAGAUCGGCCAGAUCGGACCACCAUAUCAUAGGAGUUUAGGAACUAUCAGUCGAAUGAGGAAUUCUUGUAAGAUUAACUAAUCUUCUGCUGAAUAAAUUUAAAACCAAAAUCA